AUGGGACAAGGUGUGCCAAAGAAGACUACUGGUCCUGUGGGAUUGGCUGCAUGUGAGAAUCCACGUGAGAGGCUAAGAAUACUGUACACAAAGAUCCUUGAUGUUCUUGAGCAAAUCCCUAAAAAUGCAGCAUAUAAAAAGUGUACAGAACAGAUUACAAAUGAGAAGCUGGCUAUGCUUAAAGUGGAACCAGAUGUUAAAAAAUUAGAAGACCAACUUCAAGGUGGCCAGAUAGAAGAGGUGAUUCAUCAGGCUGAAAAUGAACUAAGUCUGGUGAGAAAAACAAUGCAGUGGAAACCAUGGGAGGCAUUAGUGGAAGAGCCUCCUGCCAAUCAGUGGAAACAGCCAAUAUAAUUAUUAAAUGACUUUGGUGGGUUGAGGGAAAUAGAUGUAAUUAAAUAUUCUGUUACAUUAAGAGUAUGUUCAUAUUAUUGAUAUUUUAUAAUCAAGAAAACUGAUACAGAAAAUACUUAGGAGACUCGUUAAAAUGAGUGAUUAUGGUAACAUCAUCUUGUGAGUCAAUUUUUGAUUUGUAAAUUUUUCACACAAAUUAUUUCCAAGAUGAUAUUUCUUUGAAUACAGAGGUUGUGGAAAGAUCUGAAAAUUAGAAAAAUUCCUACCAAUCUUCAAUGCAGAGACUAUAAUCAAAAAGUAGUUUCUUUAGUAGUAUCUUCAAUACACCAUUUAAUAUUUUUAU